AUUGAACGCUGGCGGCAGGCCUAACACAUGCAAGUCGAGCGGAGCGGCGGACGGGUGAGUAAGGACUCGGAAUAUGCCUGGUCUUGGGGGAUAACGUCAGGAAACGGGCGCUCAUACCGCAUACUAUCAGAUGAGCCUCGGUCGGAUUAGCUAGUUGGGGGGGUAACGGCCUACCAAGGCGACGAUCCGGAACUGGUCUGAGAGGAUGAUCAGUCACACUGGAACUGAGACACGGUCCAGACUCCUACGGGAGGCAGCAGUGGGGAAUAUUGGACAAUGGGCGAAAGCCUGAUCCAGCCAUGCCGCGUGUGUGAAGAAGGUCUUCGGAUUGUAAAGCACUUUAAGUUGGGAGGCGUUACCAACAGAAUAAGCACCGGCUAACUUCGUGCCAGCAGCCGCGGUAAUAC
rnacentral:rRNA from 1 species